UUGGGCAAAAAAAAUAAUUAAUAAAACAUUAGAACAAAAUACGCUCCAGCUGAAGAAGAACAUACGCUCCAGCAGCUGACAUACGCUCCAAGAUAAAUUUGAAGAACAUACGCUUACAAUUUCACGAUUUCAUGUUGAAGAGAUGAAGAGUUACUCGCUGAAGAACACGAUUUCACAAUUUCUUGUUGAAAGGAUUUUGUUGGAAUAUGGUUUAUUAGUUAGGAAAGGCAAAGAGAAAACCAGGGCUUAUUGGAAUGUAAGCUUGUAUCAAACUUCACUUACCGCUACCGAAUUCAGUCAUUGCUCAAUGGUAGAUUUCUGCGGACAAGAGAUUGAUGACCAGUGAUGAAAGAACUACAUCAGACGCCGCGAGUGAAUUGGGCAUACUGAGACAAAGUCAUACUGUAUCUUAUUUAAGGAAUGAGAUUUGAUCCAGAUUGGUCGAUAAUGCUCAUAUUUCUACAAAAGAUGUGCAGCUGAACGCCUCUUCUACAGAUGACCUGAAUCAUCAUCAUUAUCGAAGUGAACAGUCUUAAUCAAUAACGAACAAGAGAUAAUUGAUGAAUCAUGUGAUCAAUUUGAACUCGAUAGUGAAGAGAUGGAGACUACUAAUGGAUUUCAUGUAAUAGGGAACUCAGAAUGCAUUACAUUUGAGGAUGUAAACCAGCAAAAUUCGGGUGAUCAAAUAGCUGAACAUUCAAAUCAAAUCAGAGGACAGGAGGAUAUUGAGCAAGAGACAUCAAAUUUUGAAUUUAUUUCCAAUGUACCUGAAAGAGAGAAUAAUGACAUUAGGAAUUUAACGGAGAAUGGUGCAGCUGUUGAAAGUGGUUCUCGAGGGCAUGUACGAGAAGCCCAUGAACCCUUUCAUGAUAAUGAUGCACCAAGAAGUGAGGCAAGUGAUACUCAUGAAGUAUAUGGUCAUUCUCAUGGCUUGAUAAGAAGUACUUUUGAGGAUUAUGAGUGGCAAGUUUUAUCAUCUCAGGCAGAAGAUCCCCAGAAGUUGUCACGGAUCAUGAGGAAAGAAACUUGCGACAACAAGAAGCGCCAUAUGAACUAGUUAUCGAACAUGGAAAAAGUGAGCAAAUGUCUUCUUCUGAACACGAUGAAACGACAAACAAUACUACAGAAAACAUGAGCUGAAGUUGGCAGGAAGAUUCUGCAAACCAUUGGUAUCCAGAAAGUUCAGAAAAUGAUACUGAAGAACAAAUUUAUGAGCAAGAACAACAUGAGGACUGGCAGAGUAAUGAUUGGCUGGAUAUGCCUUCUAGUCAGAAUGCUGGAUCCAUGAGAAGGGUUGAUUCAUUUUAUAUGCCUGAUGAUGAUAAUGUUUACAAUAUUGAACUUCGAGAACUUUUAAGCAGGAAAAUGAUUCUCAUUACCACAGGAUUAUUCAUUUUCUACCAAAAUUUAAUGCUUAAGCGAUUUAACUGGUUCCUUAAUGUUGUAGGAGGCGUGUCUCUAAUCUGCUUCAAAGUGGCUUCUGUGAGAGUUUAGACCAGCUAAUACAAUCUUACGUUGAAAGGCAAGGACACACUUCUGAAUGGUAUAUGGGUGGAACAUUAUCAUCCCCUGAUGAUAUGGAACACAAGCUGCUUCAAGAAUAUGACAAUCAAGAUGGACCUUAGAUAAAUAGUGAAUCUAAUUCCUUUGCCAUGACUUCACUACAUGUGGAACCUUCUCUGCAGUUGAUAGGAACAGAUUGAGAAGUCACACAUGAGUUGAGGAAUGACAUGGUUCGGCUUCAGCAGAGGAUGUUCGAAAAGUGUAUGGAGAUGCAAGUUGAGCUCCAACGCACGGUUCGUCAAAAUGAUUCUGCAGCCUUCAAUCGAUAUGCUGGUUCAACAGGUGUGGACACAUGUGCACAUGUUUAAAAUAUGCAGAAAAGUUUGUCCAGCGGGACGGAAAAUGUCCAAUGUGCCAGGCACCAGUAAUUGAGGUGAUCCGAACUUUUUCUAUACCGUAAUGUUGGUGCAGGACAUAACUUGGGUAUGUACACAUGCUCAAAUCCGAGCUAGCUUUUUCUGUACAUAGCUGGUAUAAAACUAAACAAAACGUGUGAAGCAGAGUGCAUCCGUUGCUGCUUUAGUUUGUCUGGGGAAAUGGAGGUGAUCACAUUUGAAGGGUCGCCACAAAUCAAUUUGAUCUCGCUGAAGUGGAUGAUGAAGAGUUUUUGAACUAUUGUAAAAGUUUGAAUACAUUAUGUUUGAUUUUGUGAAAUAUAUUCAUUGCUAGAAUAUAUUGAACUAUUGUAAGAGUACUUUUUGCACUAUUGUGUACACAUAUUUAGAAUAUUGCUUUAUAAGUAUGUGUAUGUACACAAGACAUACUAUCUUUUGAAGUUUAUUGCAAAUCUAUAUAUUUGAAUUACUUAUUA